UGGCUCAGAACGAACGCUGGCGGCAUGCCUAACACAUGCAAGUCGAACGGAUGCAGCAAUGCAUCAGUGGCAGACGGGUGAGUAACACGUGGGAAUCUACCCAGUAGCCUGGAAUAACCGCGGGAAACUGCGGCUAAUACCGGAUACGCCCCUCGGGGGAAAGGAGCAAUCCACUAUUGGAGGAGCCCGCGUCCGAUUAGCUAGUUGGUGAGGUUUCUUCUCACCAAGGCGGAGAACGGUAGCUGGUUUGAGAGAACGACCAGCCACACUGGGA
rnacentral:rRNA from 1 species